AUGGUAUUUCGUGGCACAGUCUCACACCUUACCUCAUCUUGCAGAAGAAGCUCAUGGUCCACUAUCUGCUGCUCCAGAGUCAAGGCCAGGUCCCUCCCCAUGUCACCACGGAGCACAUGAGCAACUGGCUGGUGUCUCAGGGCAAAAAAUCUCUUAGGGAGAGGUGAGUACCACGUCAGCACUCACAUUCACUGCCAUUCCCUGCCACCAGCAGCACUCCAGGAGGUGUGGGAAAAAUAAACAACAGAAAAAUCAGAAGGCAGGAAAGUUGAAUUGCUCUGUGUUUUAUUUGAAGGGUGUGGAAGGAAACCCUGGAGGAAGGAAACGACCUCGCUCGGCUGGUAAGAGAAUGAGAGUUAGAGACAAACUACAAGUUAGUGAGCUCUUUACUAGCCUUUCAACAACGAGUUAGCACAGCAGAAUAGAUCUGUUGUGAAAUUACACCAAUGGGACUUCCUGUUUCAUACUGCAGGCCUGGGAAGUAAACACUUGCCUAAAAAUGAUGAACAUAGAGCACGAGGCUUUCUGCAAGCUCCGCCGCUCCAUGCACCCCACCUCGCCAGCUGACAUCGAUCCGAAGGUCCACAGCAUCGUGGAGAAAGCUGUGAGAAGCAUUCUGGGCGAGCAGUCCAAUGAGCCCCGUAGCAACCUGCUCAGCCCAUCUCAGGUGGUGGUGGAGGUGGUGCCCAGGCUCCUCCUGGCCCUGUGGCUUCAGCCAGAGGAAGGCCAUUCAGAGCACCCAAUCCUAAUAAGUGGGAUGGCCGUGGGCAUGGUGGCGGCCGUAGUGGAGAAGCUCUCCUGCAUGUUAAAGGACCCUUCCCCUCACAUCCCUUUCUCCCGGGCUGCUGCUUUUGACUCAGUGUGGUCGAUCCUGGGGAGAAUCAGUCAGUCCUUCUCCACAGAUGACCUGCAGAGCCCUUUUUAUAUGAGCUCUGUCUGUGGCUUUGUGGCUGACGAGGUGCAGAGCUGCUUCCAGCCCCCUGCAGCCACCCUACCAGUCCCCCCUGUGCUCACGGUGGCCGUUUCCACCACACUACCAGCUGGCAUCCAAGCAGGUGAGUAGAAAUGAUAGAGAACACUCUGACAGAUGCCUGUUCUGAUGACAUCUUGGUGCCUUGUAGUAGUAGAGCUCAUCAGGAUUGUUGUUGUCACCCAUAAUACAGACCCGGCUUCUUCCCACCUGGAGGUUGAGGACAUCACCCCUAAGAAAGAGGCAGAUCCGGCUUCUUCCCACCUGGGGGUUGUGGACAUCACCACUAACACAGAGGCAGAUCCGGGUUCUUCCCACCUGGAGGUUGAGGACAUCACCCCUAAGACAGAGGCAGAUCCGGCUUCUUCCCACCUGGAGGUUGUGGACAUCACCACUAACACAGAGACAGAUCCGG
rnacentral:lncRNA from 1 species